UUUUUUUUUUUUUUUUUUUUUUGCUUUUUGAGGCCGUACCCACAGCAUAUGGAAGUUCCCAGGCUAGAGGUGGUAUUGGAACUAGCUGCCAGACUAUGCCACAGGCACAGCAAUGCAGGAUCCAAGCCACGUUUGUGACCUACACCACAGCUCAAGGCAAUGCCAGAUCCUUAACCCACUGAGCGAGGACCGGUAUUGAACCGCCAUCCUCAUGGAUAUUAGUUGGAUUCAUUUCUGCUGUGCCACAAUAGGAACUCCAAGACUCUAUUCUUUUAAAAAAAAAAUUACAUUUUAUUUUAUUAUUUUAUUUUAUAAUGAUUUUUAUUUUUUCCAUUAUAGCUGGCUUACUGUGUUCUGUCAAUUUUCUACUGUACAGCAAGGUGACCCAUCUAUGUAUACAUAGAUGUAUACAUUCUUUUUUCUCACAGUAUCAUACUCCAUCAUAAGUGACUAGAAAUAGUUCCCAGUGCUAUAUAGCAGGAUCUCAUUGCUUAUCCAUUCCAAAGGCAAUAGUUUGCAUCUAUUAACCCUAAAUUCCCAGUCCAUCCCAUUCCCUCCCCCUCCCCCUUGGCAACUACAAGUCUGUUCUCCAUGUCCAUGAUUUUCUUUUCUGUGGAAAGGUUAAUUUGUGCUGUAUAUUAGAUUCCAGAUGGAAGUGAUGUUAUAUGGUAUAUGGUAGAGUAAAGUAGAGUAAAGUAAGGUAGAGUAAUGUAAAGUAAAGUAGAGUAUGGUAGAAGUAAAGUGAAGUAAGGUAAAGUGAAGUGGAGUAGAGUAAAGUAAAGUAGAGUAGAGUAGAGUAAGGUGAAGUAAAGUAGAGUGAAGUAGAGUGUGGUAAAGUAGAGUAGAGUAAAGUAAAGUAGAGUAAAGUAAGGUAGAGUAAUGUAAAGUAAAGUAGAGUAUGGUAGAGUAAAAUAGAGUAUGGUAGAGUAACGUAAAAAUGCUUUGUUGAAACCCUUCAGGGAGUUGAGGGUUUUAGUGCACAAGCCACCCAUUCUCCUUGUAUUCGUGCCUUUACAAUAAACACUGCACUUUCCUUCACACAACCUGCUUUCAGCAGAUUGGCUUUACUGCCCAUACACAGGCAAGCGGGCCCAAGUUUGGUUCUGUAACAACCCCACUCCUGGAAACAAAGGAAUUCCCUAACUAGAGUAAAUGACUGUCAGGGUGGAGGGGGGAAGGUUGGGAAACUGGAAAAGGAGAAGGAUGAGAACCUUAGGUAUUUGUAUUUUCUGGGGUACUAGGUAAUGUCACAGUACCUGUCAUGGUGAACAGAUGGAGCUUGAGUGCUUUCCAUUUGUCACCUCACUGGACAGCCCUGCAACAAGAGUAUUAAUUAACAUUACUGUGUCAUAUCCCCAGAAAAAGGUGUUUCUCAUCAGUUGGGGAUAGCAGGUGACAUUUUUUAUGCCAUGGCUCCUUUUGACAAUCGUGGGAAGUCUACAAACAUCAUCUUAGAAUUAGGUUUUGAAAUGCAUGAAAUAAAGGAAACCAACUGUACUGCAUCACACUUCUAUCCAUGGACUCCAUGGGCCAUGUGAAGGAUUUCUGGUAGAAACUGGGCUGUUUCCACACAAAGCAAGUGUGAGAACUAGAAAGGCCAUAUGCUACAGAGUCACCCUGCUCUGCAGGCUUGUACUUGAUGGAUAGAAGAGACAGAAAGAGUGAAUGAGAGAACUCCAUGAGCUGAUUAGCUGGGGUGAUGUGCAUUUGACCUCCAAGGGCCAAAGACCAAGGCAGGUAGAAUGGCUACUGUUAGUCUUGUCCUGAGGAAGCAUUUGCACGUUCCCUCUCAUGGCUAAAGGCCUUUGUAGAAGGACUGCACCACAGGCACAGGCUGGGAUCACACCAGGCUCUAAACAAGCAGGUACCAGAGAUGGACUGAGGUGUCCAUUCCAGGUCAUCAGCGAGGAACUCAGAAGAAAGGCGUGAGGAUCCCUGUUUCAGGAGCAACACCUGGUGGCAGCAACAAGCAGAAGUGGCUCACUGAGCAAGCAAUACCAAGAAGGACUCACAUCUAGAAUUGAGAAAGCAUCCCCACCCCCAGGGUCCUUAAGGAACUGCAGAGGGAGAGCCUUCUACCAGUCAGGCUCCCAGCAGGAAACCAGGAGCCCUUCAAGGGGGACGAAUUCAGGCACUGUCUACAAAGAUGGAGGUGUGUUUAAGGGAAACGGAGAAAGGUCAAGUAGCCUAGAUCAGCUGGGGACAUUUACCUUCACCACCUUGAGAGGGGUGAGGGAAGGCAGCUGUGAUCGGAAUCCAGAGAGAUGAACAGGAAAAAAAUAUCCUAGCCUCACUUCCCUCCACCCUGCAAAGUUCCCUGAGGCUUCCCAGCGGUGGAACCCAACCCAACUCCCAAGUCCUUCAAGGGCAUAACUGACAGCCC
rnacentral:lncRNA from 1 species